UACCCAUAUUUUUUAAUACGUUCAUCUUAGAGAGCCCGGACCCCAUCGUUUGUAUCCUUCUGAGCGUACAGUGCCUUGGAGGGACGGACGGAGGGAGCGGAUGAAGAGACGAAAGGGUGAAGAAGCGGAUGGACGGAUGAAGGAAAAAUGGAACGGAGCAGUAGAUGGAAAGAGUGAAGGAGCGGAUGGAUGAGUGAAGGAAGGAGAGGUCGAAGAAGUAAAUGGAGGGGAUGGAUUAUAGGAGCGACCGAACGGAGGAGUGACUGAAGAAAAGAAUGAACGAGGGGAUGGAUAAAUGAACGGAAGAAGGAUCGGUGGAACGAAGGAUGAAAUGGAAUGGGUGAAUAUCUGAAUGAAAGGAGUGUUUGAAUGGGGGAGGAAGUGAAGAGAAUGAAGGGGGGGUGGAUAUAAUGAAUGAAAGGAGCGAUCGGAGGAGGAAAUGAAAAAAGAGUGAAGGAGGGGGCCAAUGAAUGGAUGAAAGGAGUGAACCAAGGAGUGACUGAAGAGGUGGACGGCUGGAUGAGUGAACGGAAGGAGCGAUGGAGUGAAGGGAUAUAUGAAAAAAGGAACGGCUGGAGGUGUGAAUGAAAAGAACGAGCGGAUGGAUAAAUGAAUGAAAGAAGGAGCGAUUGAGUGGAGGAGGGAUUGAAGAAUGAAAGGGGAUGGGUGAACGAACGAAAGGGGCGAUUGAAGGAAUUAAUGAAGAAGAGAAUGGAGUAGAUGGAUGAGUGAGCUAGUGAAAGGAGGAGUGAUUGAAAGAAGGGUUGAUUGAAUGAAGGUGGGGAUGGAUAAACGAGUGAGAGGAGGAGCGAUUGAAUUUUUUUUUUCAUUUCCAUCGUAUUUACUGAGCACUUUCUGCUGAGCACUCUCUGGGCCUGGGCUGCCGGCGGCUUCCGAGGAAGGGCUCCACUUCCAUCCGCCGCUCUGAGCCGGGCCCCGGGGGAGACCCGGCCCCCAGCCCCCUGCCCCGCUGGGGCCGCAGCCCCCUCGGCAUCAACCGAAACCUCCUCACCGUCGGCUUUAAAGCCCGUCCGGCCCCCGGCCCCCUCCGGCCUCCCCUCCCUCCUCUCCUCCUCCUCCACGCCGGGCCGCACGCCGCGCUCCUCCGUCGCCGCUCGCCUCCUCCCCGGGCCCCCGGCUCGCCCGGCCCGCCGCCCGCCC
rnacentral:lncRNA from 1 species